rnacentral:rRNA from 1 species
GACGAACGCUGGCGGCGUGCCUAAUACAUGCAAGUCGAACGAGUGGCGGACGGGUGAGUAACAAGUGGGAACCUACCCAUCAGAGGGGGAGAACUACUGGCAACGGUAGCUAAUCCCGCAUACCAUCAGAUGGGCCCAGAUGGGAUUAGCUGGUUGGUGGGGUAACGGCUCACCAAGGCGACGAUCCCUAGCUGGUCUGAGAGGAUGACCAGCCACACUGGAACUGAGACACUGUCCAGACUCCUACGGGAGGCAGCAGUGGGGAAUAGUGCACAAUGGGCGCAAGCCGGAUGCAGCCAUGCCGCGUGUAUGAAGAAGGCCUUCGGGUUGUAAAGUACUUUCAGCGGGGAGGCGUUACUCGCAGAAGAAGCACCGGCUAACUCCGUGCCAGCCGCCGCGGUAAUUC